rnacentral:tRNA from 1 species
UGACGAAUAGUUUAAAAAAAAUAAUAGAUUGUGGUUCUAUAGAUAAGGGUGAUCUUUUCGUUAG